UUCACUCCUGUCACAGUCUUGUUGUCUCUGUACGUGUGAGUCUCUGUGAGUGCUGUGAGGUUUCUGACAGACUUUGUGUGAAUCAGGGUCUCAGGAAGACGGAACAUUGGGAACGUCAGGAUGUCUGUCUCAAGAGGAGUUAUCAGAACAGGCUUCACAGGCCCAGGAUCUUGAGAGACUGGCUCAGCUCUGCAUCAUGAGCAAAAGACCCCACCUUGCUUUAGAAUACAGUGGCAAGGCCACUAAAAUCCACCAGAGGGCUUUUGGUAACGAUCACCCCAUCACAGCCCGGAGUCUGGAGCUGCUGGCCACUGUCUAUGCUGAGAUCGGCAAAACAGAAUAUACAAAUUCAUUGGGAGAGUGUGUGUCAACUCUUUCCAAAAGGUUCUCAGCCACCGAGUCAUUCAGUGAUGCUCUGAGUAGCAUCUCUCAUAGCCAUAAAGACAGACACUCUGAGCUGCGACACAGAAAAGAGCCAUACAUACAACAGGAAACUCCUAAAUCGAAGGUCAUAAAUGAAAAACUGCCCACCUCUAUUCUGAAAAGGUCCAAUGUGAGCAAUGUGGAGUCAGACUCAUCGCGCAGGCGAAAAAGCGAGAGGCGGGUUCGCUUCAGACAGCCGGAGAUCACUGUUCAUGUCUACGACACCCCCCAGAGCCGUUUGCACCUGGCCCUGCUCACCUGCCUGUUUCUGCUUCUGUCUGCGCUGGGUCUAGCACUGUACUGCACGGACCGCCGAAGACCCCAGCGCGC
rnacentral:lncRNA from 1 species